CUCGUAGGCGGCCAACUAAGUCAGACGUGAAAUCCCUCAGCUUAACUGGGGAACUGCGUCUGAUACUGGAUGGCUUGGAUUUGGGAGAGGGAUGCGGAAUUCCAGGUGUAGCGGUGAAAUGCGUAGAUAUCUGGAGGAACACCGGUGGCGAAGGCGGCAUCCUGGACCAACAUUGACGCUGAGGAGCGAAAGCCAGGGGAGCAAACG
rnacentral:rRNA from 1 species